UGAUGCAGCAAUGCCGCGUGAGUGAAGAAGGCCUUCGGGUUGUAAAGCUCUUUUGUCAGGGAAGAAACGGUUGGGGCUAAUAUCCCCGGCUAAUGACGGUACCUGAAGAAUAAGCCCCGGCUAACUACGUGCCAGCAGCCGCGGUAAUACGUAGGGUGCAAGCGUUAAUCGGAAUUACUGGGCGUAAAGCGUGCGCAGGCGGUUUUGUAAGUCUGACGUGAAAUCCCCGGGCUCAACCUGGGAAUUGCAUUGGAGACUGCAAGGCUUGAGUCUGGAAGAGGGGGGUAGAAUUCCACGUGUAGCAGUGAAAUGCGUAGAGAUGUGGAGGAACACCGAUGGCGAAGGCAGCCCCCUGGGUCAAGACUGACGCUCAUGCACGAAAGCGUGGGGAGCAAACAGGAUUAGAUACCCUGGUAGUCCACGCCCUAAACGAUGUCUACUAAUUGUCGGGUCUUAAUUGACUUGUUAACCCAGCUUACGCGUG
rnacentral:rRNA from 1 species